rnacentral:rRNA from 1 species
ACGCUCGACACCUACGGAGGCAGCAGUGGGGAAUAUUGCACAAUGGGGGAAACCCUGAUGCAGCGACGCCGCGUGAGCGAAGAAGUAUUUCGGUAUGUAAAGCUCUAUCAGCAGGGAAGAAACUGACGGUACCUGACUAAGAAGCACCGGCUAAAUACGUGCCGNNGCGCGAUACUNGCGGCGNGNAG